GACUAACGCUGGCGGCGUGCCUAACACAUGCAAGUCGAACGGGCUUUUUACCAGUAGCAAUACCAGUAAAAAGCAAGUGGCGAACGGGUGAGUAACACGUAGAUAAUCUGCCUUUCAGACGGGGACAACCCAGGGAAACUUGGGCUAAUACCCGAUGAGACCACAUUGGGGGACCGAUGUGGCCAAAAGUGGGCUUUCGGGCUCACGCUGAGAGAUGAGUCUGCGUCCUAUCAGCUAGUUGGUGGGGUAAUUGCCUACCAAGGCCAAGACGGGUAGCCGGCCUGAGAGGGUGAACGGCCACACUGGGACUGAGACACGGCCCAGACUCCUACGGGAGGCAGCAGUGAGGAAUUUUCCGCAAUGGGCGCAAGCCUGACGGAGCGACGCCGCGUGAGGGAUGAGGGCUUUCGGGUUGUAAACCUCUUUUAUUAAGGAAAAAUUUGAUGGUGUUAAUACCACCAUUAAUUGAUGGUACUUAUUGAAUAAGCCCCGGCUAACUACGUGCCAGCAGCCGCGGUAAUACGUAGGGGGCGAGCGUUGUCCGGAGUUACUGGGCGUAAAGAGCGUGUAGGCGGUUGGAAAAGUCAGGUGUGAAAUCUUUCGGCUCAACCGGGAGACUGCGCCUG
rnacentral:rRNA from 1 species